UAUAGCGAUUCCGACUUCAUGGAGUCGAGUUGCAGACUCCAAUCAGGACUACGACGCACUUUAUGAGGUCCGCUUGCUCUCGCGAGGUCGCUUCUCUUUGUAUGCGCCAUUGUAGCACGUGUGUAGCCCUACUCGUAAGGGCCAUGAUGACUUGACGUCAUCCCCACCUUCCUCCAGUUUAUCACUGGCAGUCUCCUUUGAGUUCCCGGCCGGACCGCUGGCAACAAAGGAUAAGGGUUGCGCUCGUUGCGGGACUUAACCCAACAUUUCACAACACGAGCUGACGACAGCCAUGCACACCUGUCUCAAGUUCCCGAAGGCACAAUCCAUCUCUGGAAAGUUCUCUGGAUGUCAGAGUAGUAAGGUUCUUCCGUUGCAUCAAUUAAACCACAUGCUCCCCGCUUGUGCGGGCCCCGUCAUUCAUUUGAUUUUAACCUUGCGGGCGAACUCCCCAGGCGGUCGACUAACCCGUACUCCGGAAGCCCCCUCAGGGACAACCUCAAGUUACUUGUUUA
rnacentral:rRNA from 1 species